rnacentral:tRNA from 2 species
GUAAAAUGGCCGAUUAAGGUGAUAAAUUGUAAAUUUAUUUAUGAAAUUAUUCUUUUACU